UGAGCAAUCUGCCCUUCUCAUCGGAAUAAGCGUUGGAAACGACGUCUAAUGCCGAAUACGACCUCCUUUCGCAUGAUCGGAGGUGGAAAGCUCCGGCGGAGAAGGAUGAGCUCGCGGCCUAUCAGCUUAGUUGGUGGGUAAGUAGCGCCACCAAGGCGACGACGGGUACG
rnacentral:rRNA from 1 species